CCAUGGAUUUAAAUAUCGAUAUUAUCGGCGAAAUAUCGCCGAUAAUAUCGAUUUUUCGGGGAAUGGAUAUUUAAAUAGGUAUCCGUGUGGUUUUCGUCCAAAUAUCGCGAUAUUAUCGAUAAUAUCGAAAAUAUCGCGAUAUUCGUCGUCGUCGCCGCCGCCGGGAGGUGAGAAAGGGAGGAGGAAACCACAGGUGGUGGGUACGAGCUGAACAACAGCAAAAUCACGUCCCCCGGGGUGUAGAGAGAUCGUAAAAAGGCCCCAAGCAACUCGGCGGAGUUGCAGAGAAGAGAUGGGGGGGAGAACCGGAGAAGGAUCGAGUUCGAGAGACUGAGGGAGAAGAAGAAGGAUGGAGAGAUUGAGGGAAGGAUCCAGAUCGAGAUCGAGAUUCGAGAGAGACUGAGGUGAUGAGGUGACCCAGCAUAUUGGACGGACUACGAAGAGACCGGACCGAGGGAGAGAAGGAGACGGAGAGACCGAGGGAGAGACGGAGACGGAAGGCUCUGUGUUCUCUGCUUGUUGUGUGUGCGUGUGAAGGAGACGGAGAGACCGAGGGAGAGAAGGAGAGUGAUGUGGGCAAGAGAGAGAGAGAGACAAUGAUAGAAAUUUGUGUGGUGUGGGUGCGUUUAGGGAAGAGAGAAAGAUGAGUGGAUGUCCCGUGCUUUUGUUGGUAAAGCAACUCUUAAUUAAUACAUUCAUCUUUUUAA